AACUUAUGACAUGCCAUGAAGGUCUUGUACUUAAUGAUACAUUCCUUCGCCAGCUCAUAAUAAGAAAAAACAGAAGGAUCUCUAUAGGAAGCAAAUCGGAAAACAAUGAUGAGUUUGCGCCAAAUGAAAUCUAC
rfam:Tetrahymena thermophila SB210 genomic scaffold scf_8254379, whole genome shotgun sequence.